GACGAACGCUGGCGGCGUGCUUAACACAUGCAAGUCGAACGGAAAGGCCCUGCUUUUGUGGGGUGCUCGAGUGGCGAACGGGUGAGUAACACGUGAGUAACCUGCCCUUGACUUUGGGAUAACUUCAGGAAACUGGGGCUAAUACCGGAUAGGAGCUCCUGCUGCAUGGUGGGGGUUGGAAAGUUUCGGCGGUUGGGGAUGGACUCGCGGCUUAUCAGCUUGUUGGUGGGGUAGUGGCUUACCAAGGCUUUGACGGGUAGCCGGCCUGAGAGGGUGACCGGCCACAUGGGGACUGAGAGACGGCCCAGAGUCCUACGGGAGGCAGCAGUGGGGAAUAUUGCACAAUGGGCGGAAGCCUGAUGCAGCAACGCCGCGUGCGGGAUGACGGCCUUCGGGUUGUAAACCGCUUUCGCCUGUGACGAAGCGUGAGUGACGGUAAUGGGUAAAGAAGCACCGGCUAACUACGUG
rnacentral:rRNA from 1 species